AAAGGGGAAUUAAAAAGGAAAAUCCGAAAAGAGCGCAAGAAAAACCCCAUUCCCGCGCUUUCUCAUACCCUAAUCCAUCCCAAUUUGGGGAAGAAUUCAGAAAAAGCUCACUCCACUCAAUUUUUCCCCAAGUCGCUCCUCCUUCAUCCUCUUCCAACUUCCGAUUCCCUUCGCGCUUCAUCGUUGCUCUCUCUCUCUCUCUCUCUCUCUCUCUCUCUCUCUCUCUCUCUCACGCACAUGCAUUUGGAUUUCGCAGAAAUCCUUAGCAACGAGACCGAUCAUCUGUUGAGGAAGUCGCUGCCGGAGAAGGAAGAUAGGAAAUGACGAAGACGAAGCCAUUUCAGGGGGGCGACCGUGUUCGUGCCGAGGAACUUGAGUGCCUCCCGAGCUGUUCGACGCGCUCAAGCUGAACGGAGCUGAGGCCUUCCUCCGCCGCGACCCUUCCAGGAGUGGGCCCCGCGAUUUUCACGCUGUUUCUUCUCCCCGAUCACGUGAGUACGUUGGGAUUGGGCGGCGCUAACGGCUUUUGGGUUCAUUUUGAGAAUUGGGUUUGAGGUUGUUUUACGUCUUGAGAAGUUCGAGGAUCUUCAGGCGAAAGGGUUGUGAGCUAGUCGGUCCGCAGUGUGUGGUGGUUUCGUGCACGAAAGAAUGGAGACCUCUACCUCAAAAAGGGUAUACUUGUUUGUCUUGCGAUGGAUGGUGUCGAAGUCCUUGCAUCUGGAUUUGAGAUGGAUGAGGAGGUAUGCCUGUUCCUAGAUAAGCCUGGCCUUGUAUGAUUUUUUAGCAUGUAAUCUUUGUCGUAACUUGUCACUCAAAUUCAGUGUGGCGCGUCACUUAUCCUUAUCCAUGUAUCCUUCUAUGUGACCGCUUGAAUCUUUUGCCUGCAGACAUGCUUUUGUCUGAACAAAUAUGGUGGCAGCUUGUCAUCUCUCUUAUUGUUUCACCAUUUACGUGAAUCUGCUGGCUGAGAUUGAGAAAUUGGUUAGUUCAACGGGGGGAGUUCUAAGACCAAAACUUCAGCAAUGUUAGCUUCGUAAUUGCAAAGAAUAUUUUGGCUGCAAAAUGCAAGGUUUAAGUCUUGGAGUUAAUAAUUUGAAUUUAGUUUAAGAGUUGCGAAUUUGUUGUAUCUUGUUAAGGUUAAAUCACUUUAAAUGAGAUUCAUUAUGCUUUUUCACUAAGUAUGGGAAGUAUUGUGGGUAGUACUCUCAUUGAGUUGGCUGAACUAAAGAAGAGUUUCCUCCAUAUUUUUUUGAAUAUUCCGUGUGCAAAGUCUUUUAUGAAUUUCAUCUUGAAAGAUAAAUUGUAUUUAUCAAUUAAUGUUGUCAUCAUGCAGUGGGCUUUAAAUGUUCUGAAGAAACCUGUUGUCGCCAUUAAUUGGUUAUACCAAUGUUGUGUUGUGCACCGUGUUGUACCUCAGGAGUCUUACAGAGUUCUUCCAUUUUCUGGAUCGACAAUGUAUGUGUCACAGGAAUUCCUGCACAUACUGAUUAUUUGAUAUAGCUGCUGCUGUUGGUUGUCCUCCAGUUCUUCAAUUUUGAUGUCCUUCAUUAUCUUAGAUGCACAGAAGGAGAUUCAGAAGCAUAUCACACAAAAUGGUGGGAAAUAUUCUGCAGAAUUGACCAGGAAGUGCACUCAUUUAAUUGCAGAAAUAACUUUUUCUUCUUCAAGAUUAAAUUCCAGUGAUUUGCUUGCAUAUUUUCCCUUUGAUAUCAGAUCGCCGUUUGAAAAUGCACAUAUCUUUAUCUUGUCUUCGCAUAUGAAAACACCUUUAAGAGUUUGAAAAGAAAAAUCUGUAUCAUUUCAAGGUUUAGUGACGAUUAUAGUUUGAAAUAGGAAAUAGCUAUACUUGAUUUAAUCCUGGUUUUUGGUAUUAUCCUUUUACUUGGGAAUUUGAUUACUCAUAUGAGAAACAGUGAAACUUCCCGGCAUGAGAAUAUCAUUGACUUUGACUUCUAAAUCAGUCCUGAAGAAUUGUGUUCUGUGGUUCAAGGAAACAAGGUGUUAAAGAACCUACAAUUUGAACUGCCAAUUGUUAAAAGAUCCUCAGCCAGUUCUCGCUUUUCCAGUGUGAGUUAGGACUGCCUGUUGGUUGCUCAAAGCACAUUGCUCAGCAAUGUUAUUACCAUUGAAUCUUUCUAUUGGCCUCAUAUAUGAUGCUCUGUAGCACUGUGAGUCCCACUACGAUGCCCUUGACUGGCUGUAAGCUCCAGAAGAUAAAUACAAGGUUGCUAAAAGAUGGGGUCACAUUCAUAUUUUGAAUCACAAAUGGUUUGAUCAAUUAACUUCUGGGAAAGGGUAGUUCCAUGUCUUCAGUGAAAACUGCAAGUAGUCAGCAAAAUCAGUAGAGGGUUAUUAGAAGUUCACAGUCUCUCCCCUCUUCAAUGGUUGGAGAUCAGGACUUCCAUUCCAUUUCAGCUACUGACCAUGCCAAUCCAGAUUUAGAAACUACUCUCUCACAGAAUGUGUCUUCAAUGUUUGUGGAUCCCCAUUUCCUUGCAAAAGAGGAUAAUAGUGAAGUGGCAGCUGUGCAAUCCAAUGGUGAAGUGAAUCAUGAUGGUUGGGUUGCUGAAGACUGAAAAUGAAGACAAUGACCUGUAUUUGUCAGAAUGUAAGUUAACAUCAUCAAAUGCUCGAUUUCCCCAAGAGUGUUCCUAAAAGAAGUGAUUUGCAACUACCAUUCAAAGUUGGCUUGAAGAUACAAAACUUGGUGAUCUGAUUUUGAAGGCAGUGGAGCCUUAAAUAGUUCUGCUUGACACAUAUGAUGACUGACUAAAGAGUAUAUCAUCGUACACUGCUUUCUCUCAUUUCAUUAUGAUUGUCUGUGCUCUUCAUGUGAACAAUGGGAAGGCUGAAAUGUUAGUAUUGCCGAAUAGGACAGUAGUUGCUGAUUCACAUGACAUUUGGCUGUCUUUCACAUAUGAUUAGUGGCUGAAGGCUGCGAUCCUUUAAAUGGCUUUGUCAGCUUGCAACUCUCCAAUUUGAGGAUACCACGCACUUCAUGACAUGGGUGGCCAAUUUUGCCGAAUGAAAUGAUUGUGUUUACAUGUUAAAAGAUGACAUAUGACUAUAGUUAAUUUGUGUUAAAGACAAUCUUUCAGCUCUUCCCGCUAAUGGCAUGCAUAUAGUUUCCAGGAUGGUAUAUGCUUGUAAGUAAUAAACAGU